CCACAGCCACUCCCUGCCUCUGUGGGAGACUCUCCAACACCAGCAGAAAUUCUGGCACGGUGUGAGAAACGCAGCAAGUGUGCAGGAAACAGCUGCCAGACUGAAGGACAGAGUGUCAGCAGAGUUGGUCAUCAUUCCAAAAUGAAAAUGGACAGCCAAGGCAGCAAGGAGGGCUCAUGACAAGUAACACAGAUGAGAAUGGGAAGGGAGAGGACAACAGAAGAUAUGAUCAUCACCAAACUGGGAAAGAUGCACUGGAGUUUAUAAAUAUAGAUGCCACACAGCACACUGUGCACCAGCCUUGUCAAAUAAGUAGGCCUCUCCUUGGCUGCCCCCAGCACUCACUGUAUCAUCCCCUGGCAAUGGGCAUCAGCAACUUAGGAGGAAGGGUCCUAAUCUAUCUGGGCAUUACUACUGUGCUAGGUCCCACCACAGUUAAAUGUAAGCACCAACUGGCAAACCACAGGGGACAUCAAGAUCAUGCCAAAUGAUAAAACAAAGCUUUAAGACCACUUCAGGUUCAGGCUUAGCCUCAAAUAAAGAGAUACACGGACCACUUUAAAGAAUGUCAGUGGUGUAGCAGCUGACAGACUCAAUUUUUAAAGAUCUCAUUAAUGAGAACCUCUUCAAGAACAGAGAUUAUUUAUUUGGGGGUAAGUUAUCUAUGUAAUUUGAAUAUUGCACUCUGCCAACAAAUUCCAGUGCAUGGGAAACUAUUUUUAAAUGUGAAUGCAGCUAACUUAAAAGAUAGGAACACAGUCUAUAGUUUCUUUUUAAAUAGAGAUAAUUACAUUUUUAGGAAGUACAACAAAUGCACAAACAAAUGUUCAGAGCUGUCACUCUCACUUUUUUGUUAAACAUCCAGAUAAUCUAAAAAUGUGCAAUUCUUUCAUCUUUGGUUCAAACAGUUAACU